rnacentral:rRNA from 1 species
AUGGGAACGCGAAGAACCUUACCUACUCUUGACAUCCAGAGAACUUUCCAGAGAUGGAUUGGUGCCUUCGGGAACUCUGAGACAGGUGCUGCAUGGCUGUCGUCAGCUCGUGUUGUGAAUGUUGGGUUAAGUCCCGCAACGAGCGCAACCCUUAUCCUUUGUUGCCAGCGGUUAGGCCGGGAACUCAAAGGAGACUGCCAGUGAUAAACUGGAGGAAGGUGGGGAUGACGUCAAGUCAUCCAUGGCCCUUACGAGUAGGGCUACACACGUAGCUACAAUGGCGCAUACAAAGAGAAGCGACCUCGCGAGAGCAAGCGGACCUCAUAAAGUGCGUCGUAGUCCGGAUUGGAGUCUGCAACUCGACUCCAUGAAGUCGGAAUCGCUAGUAAUCGUAGAUCAGAAUGCUACGGUGAAUACGUUCCCGGGUCUUGUACACA